AGGUCACACCCGUUCCCAUACCGAACACGGAAGUUAAGCUUCUCAGCGCCGAUGGUAGUUGGGGGCUGUCCCCCUGUGAGAGUAGGACGCUGCCGGGC
rnacentral:rRNA from 1 species